CGUAGGGUGCAAGCGUUAAUCGGAAUUACGUGGGCGUAAAGCGUGCGCAGGCGGCUUUGCAAGACAGAUGUGAAAUCCUCGGGCUCAACCUGGGAACUGCAUUUGUGACUGCAUGGCUGGAGUACGGUAGAGGGGGAUGGAAUUCCGCGUGUAGCAGUGAAAUGCGUAGAUAUGCGGAGGAACACCGAUGGCGAAGGCAAUUCCCUGGACCUGUACUGACGCUCAUGCACGAAAGCGUGGGGAGCAAACAGGAUUAGAUACCCUGGUAGUCCACGCCCUAAACGAUGUCAACUGGUUGUUGGACGGCUUGCUGUUCAGUAACGAAGCUAACGCGUGAAGUUGACCGCCUGGGGAGUACGGCCGCAAGGUUG
rnacentral:rRNA from 1 species